rnacentral:rRNA from 1 species
UACGUAGGGUGCGAGCGUUGUCCGGAAUUACUGGGCGUAAAGAGCUCGUAGGCGGCUUGUCGCGUUGUUCGUGAAAAUUUACCGCUCAACGGUGAGCUUGCGGGCGAUACGGGCAGGCUAGAGUACUGCAGGGGAGACUGGAAUUCCUGGUGUAGCGGUGAAAUGCGCAGAUAUCAGGAGGAACACCGGUGGCGAAGGCGGGUCUCUGGGCAGUAACUGACGCUGAGGAGCGAAAGCGUGGGGAGCGAACAGG